CCCCCUUGUCCCUCGGGGCUCUCCGAUCCUCUGCUGUUCUUUCCUUGCAGUCAGCUUCUCCUUCCUUCCUCGAGGUGGAUCUUCAUGAAGAUUCCUCUGCUCAUUUCAUUUAGGACAGGUGGGAGAAGUGUGCCAGAGAGAGCUGCUGGCCUCUGUCUUGUGCCUGUGGCAAUGGCAGAGCUGUGGACUUAUGGAAGUCAACGCACUGGUCAGAGGUGGACUGGGUAAUGUACACCUACAAGCCCAGAAACUGGGAAAUGGAGGCAGAAGGAUCAGGAGUUCAGAAUCAUCCUCAGGUACUGAGCUAACAUUUCAGCACAGGGGCCCCAGUCCCCCAGAUCCCCACUUCUGCCAUUGUGACCACAUGCUCUAUUGUGGUCUUGACCACAAGGACCUCCUGGUUCUUGGCUCCUCUCUUGGGUCCCUUGCCCUCUCUCCUCUUCCCUCUUUUCCCAUCUUGCUCUCCCCGACUCUCUUCCUGUGGCCUGGUUCAGUCAGCUGGUCACGCUUUGCCCACGGCUCUCUCUCCCUCAUCUGGACUUUGCCCAGACGCCUCUGGCUGAACUGGCCUUCAUGUCUACAAUAAAGCCCUUCUUCUC
rnacentral:lncRNA from 1 species